GGCUCNCUUUUUUAUGGAUGAGAAGAUAUUUACGUGCAAGAGUAUAUUUAUAGAAAGCAAGGGGAGGAUGUUGCCAAAGGCGUGGUUGGUUUCAGCAACCGUGACACAGAACAAACGGAAGAAAACAGAGACGGCAAGGGCCAAUGCUGAACCUUCACUUUAUCUGGUUUUGAUGUGAGAUGAGAUGGUAGAGCAGGCGUUGAUAAGAAAGCCCAAAGAAAAAAAAUUGACAAAGAAGAGCGAGGGUAGCUGAAUUCUUUUGCUCUAAUUUGUCCGUUCUCCUUUUCAAAUUCCACUUCAGAUCAACUAAAAUACUUCAUUACUCUGAAUUUUCCAGAAUUUAGAUCAGAUAGCUUCCAAAGUCCAGCUUGAAGCAUAUGAUAGUGCAAUUGCAGUACGGAGCACUAAACAUCAUUAGAGAAACAUUUAAACACCAGAUAACCGCUAUAUACCAAAA